rnacentral:rRNA from 1 species
UACGUAGGGUGCGAGCGUUGUCCGGAAUUACUGGGCGUAAAGAGUUCGUAGGCGGUUUGUCGCGUCGUGUGUGAAAUCCCGCAGCUCAACUGCGGGCUUGCAGGCGAUACGGGCAGACUUGAGUACUGCAGGGGAGACUGGAAUUCCUGGUGUAGCGGUGAAUGCGCAGAUAUCAGGAGGAACACCGGUGGCGAAGGCGGUCUCUGGCAGUAACUGACGCUGGAGGAACGAAAGCGUGGUAGCGAACAGG